rnacentral:rRNA from 1 species
UACGUAGGGUGCAAGCGUUGUCCGGAAUUAUUGGGCGUAAAGAGCUCGUAGGCGGUCUGUCGCGCCUGCUGUGAAAACUCGGGGCUUAACCCCGGGCCUGCAGUGGGUACGGGCAGACUAGAGUGCGGUAGGGGAGACUGGAAUUCCUGGUGUAGCGGUGAAAUGCGCAGAUAUCAGGAGGAACACCGGUGGCGAAGGCGGGUCUCUGGGCAACAACUGACGCUGAGGAGCGAAAGCGUGGGGAGCGAACAGG